rnacentral:rRNA from 1 species
GAUGAACGCUGGCGGCGUGCCUAAUACAUGCAAGUCGAGCGAACGGACGAGAAUCUUGCUUCUCUGAUGUUAGCGGCGGACGGGUGAGUAACACGUGGAUAACCUACCUAUAAGACUGGGAUAACUUCGGGAAACCGGAGCUAAUACCGGAUAAUAUGUUGAACCGCAUGGUUCAACAGAGAAAGACGGUCUUGCUGUCACUUAUAGAUGGAUCCGCGCUGCAUUAGCUAGUUGGUAAGGUAACGGCUUACCAAGGCAACGAUGCAUAGCCGACCUGAGAGGGUGAUCGGUCACACUGGAACUGAGACACGGUCCAGACUCCUACGGGAGGCAGCAGUAGGGAAUCUUCCGCAAUGGGCGAAAGCCUGACGCAGCAACGCCGCGUGAGUGAUGAAGGUCUUCGGAUCGUAAAACUCUGUUAUUAGGGAAGAACAUAUGUGUAAGUAACUGUGCACAUCUUGACGGUACCUAAUCAGAAAGCCACGGCUAACUACGUG